GUUUGCACUUGUCGGGGAAGGGUGAGAACCUUCGAUUAAGGUUCGACUCGAGCGAAAGAACGUUGCCAACGGUAACGGCCCGUAGGGUGAGGAGUGAAG
rnacentral:sRNA from 2 species